rnacentral:misc_RNA from 1 species
AUUCUAAUUUUCACAUGCACUAUCUUAAAACACUGAAAAUCAACCAAAGGAAACAAGAAUUACAAAAAGAAGAUUUGUGAAAAGCAAUCCAACGAAAAAGAUAAGAAAAGAAAAAAUAGAGGAAUCAAAAUUAAUCAGGUUUGAAACUACAUUCCAUUUGUGUAAUUCCUCCUACUCAUUUCAUCAUACAACAUCUCUUUCUCUUACUUUUUUGUGGAGACUAGCAACUCCAUGCCCCAAUGUCACAGGCUCACAAUAACCUGCAUUGCCUUCCGACGCAUAAACAUUUUUCCCCCUUCAAUCUCCAAAUAGCCACUGAACUUUCUCUUGCAUGGACUGCCUUCGUCCCUCUCAACUUCUGUGUGUAAAUUUAUUUACACCUUAAUCAAAACCGGAUUCUGCUUUUGGAAAAAUCUAGCAGAAUUUAUUUACAAAGAAAAAUAAAACCUUGACUAGUUAAUGAGUACAUACCCUUGUUAAAAAAAAAAAGUUAUAGUGGUAAUGGGUUCUAGGGUUCUCAGACUAUGGUCUAAACCAAAGCGAGCAUAGUUGACAAAAGAGAUGUUGAUGGUAUGGAUAUCAAAUGGACUGGAAACAAAGCAUUGGGUUAGUUAGUUGGGGGUGUGACAACGAGGCUUCAUGGCUUGCAAGGAAUGGAUGAAAAGUCAUAAGUUUCAAGGAAUUGAAGAUGGGAAAU